GAUGAACGCUGGCGGCGUGCCUAAUACAUGCAAGUCGAGCGAACAGACGAGGAGCUUGCUCCUCUGACGUUAGCGGCGGACGGGUGAGUAACACGUGGAUAACCUACCUAUAAGACUGGGAUAACUUCGGGAAACCGGAGCUAAUACCGGAUAAUAUAUUGAACCGCAUGGUUCAAUAGUGAAAGACGGUUUUGCUGUCACUUAUAGAUGGAUCCACGCCGCAUUAGCUAGUUGGUAAGGUAACGGCUUACCAAGGCGACGAUGCGUAGCCGACCUGAGAGAGUCAUCAGCCACACUGGAACUGAGACACGGUCCAGACUCCUACGAGAAGCAGCAGUAGGGAAUCUUCCGCAAUGGGCGAAAGCUUGACGGAGCAACGCCGCGUGAGUGAUGAAGGUCUUCGGAUCGUAAAACUCUGUUAUUAGGGAAGAACAAAUGUGUAAGUAACUAUGCACGUCUUGACGGUACCUAAUCAGGAAGCCACGGCUAACUACGUG
rnacentral:rRNA from 1 species